rnacentral:rRNA from 1 species
AUUGAACGCUGGCGGCAUGCCUUACACAUGCAAGUCGAACGGCAGCACGGGUGCUUGCACCUGGUGGCGAGUGGCGAACGGGUGAGUAAUACAUCGGAACAUGUCCUGUAGUGGGGGAUAGCCCGGCGAAAGCCGGAUUAAUACCGCAUACGAUCCACGGAUGAAAGCGGGGGACCUUCGGGCCUCGCGCUAUAGGGUUGGCCGAUGGCUGAUUAGCUAGUUGGUGGGGUAAAGGCCUACCAAGGCGACGAUCAGUAGCUGGUCUGAGAGGACGACCAGCCACAAUGGGACUGAGACAAGGCCCAGACUCCUACGGGAGGCAGCAGUGGGGAAUUUUGGACAAUGGGCGAAAGCCUGAUCCAGCAAUGCCGCGUGUGUGAAGAAGGACUUCGGGUUGUAAAGCACUUUUGUCCGGAAAGAAAUCCUUGACUCUAAUACAGUCGGGGGAUGACGGUACCGGAAGAAUAAGCACCGGCUAACUACGUG